ACGGCGAGUGAAGCGGGAAGAGCUCAAAUUUGAAAUCUGGUAGCCUUCGGUUGCCCGAGUUGUAAUCUAGAGAAGUGUUUUCCGUGCCGGCCCAUGUACAAGUCCCUUGGAACAGGGCGUCAUAGAGGGUGAGAAUCCCGUCCUUGACAUGGACCCCCGGUGCUUUGUGAUACACUUUCAACGAGUCGAGUUGUUUGGGAAUGCAGCUCAAAAUGGGUGGUGAAUUCCAUCUAAAGCUAAAUAUUGGCGAGAGACCGAUAGCGAACAAGUACCGUGAGGGAAAGAUGAAAAGCACUUUGGAAAGAGAGUUAAACAGUACGUGAAAUUGUUGAAAGGGAAACGAUUGAAGUCAGUCAUGCUCUUUGGUAUUUAUAUCAUUGAGUGGGGUCAACAUCAGUUUUGAGCGAUGGAUAAAGGCACUAGGAAGGUAGCACUCUCGGGUGAACUUAUAGCCUAGCGUCAUAUACAUUGUUUGGGACUGAGGAACGCAGCAUGCCUUUAUGGCCGGGAUUCGUCCACGUACA
rnacentral:rRNA from 1 species